CCCUUAGAUGUCCUGGGCUGCACGCGCGCUACACUGAUGUGUCCAGUAAGCACCUAACCUCUUCCGAAAGGAACGGGUAACCUUUGCAAAGCACAUCGUGAUGGGGAUAGAUUAUUGCAAUUAUUAGCCUUGAACGAGGAAUUCCUAGUAAGCACAAGUCAUCAGCUUGUGUUGAUUACGUCCCUGCCCUUUGUACACACCGCCCGUCGCUCCUACCGAUUGAAUGUUCCGGUGAGCUCUUCGGACUGCGCGGUCUGCAGUUUCUGCGUUCCGUGCGGAAAGUUGCGCAAACCUUAACAUUUAGAGGAAGGAGAAGUCGUAACA
rnacentral:rRNA from 1 species